GACGAACGCUGGCGGCGCGCCUAACACAUGCAAGUCGAACGAGCGAGAGAGAGCUUGCUUUCUCAAGCGAGUGGCGAACGGGUGAGUAACGCGUGAGGAACCUGCCUCAAAGAGGGGGACAACAGUUGGAAACGACUGCUAAUACCGCAUAAGCCCACAGGUCGGCAUCGACCAGAGGGAAAAGGAGCAAUCCGCUUUGAGAUGGCCUCGCGUCCGAUUAGCUAGUUGGUGAGGUAAUGGCUCACCAAGGCGACGAUCGGUAGCCGGACUGAGAGGUUGAACGGCCACAUUGGGACUGAGACACGGCCCAGACUCCUACGGGAGGCAGCAGUGGGGAAUAUUGCACAAUGGGGGAAACCCUGAUGCAGCGACGCCGCGUGGAGGAAGAAGGUCUUCGGAUUGUAAACUCCUGUUGUUGAGGAAGAUAAUGACGGUACUCAACAAGGAAGUGACGG
rnacentral:rRNA from 1 species